ACACACACACACACACACACACACACACACACACACACGGUUCCAAUGCGCUCUGCAAGCUGUCGUCACGAAAACCAGCAUGGCACCAUGCCGGGAACCGUGGGGACCACCGGAGCAAGCCUCCAUGGCAUUGGUAUCUGCUCGACUUGGGGGCACCCUGGGGGCAGCCUUCUCAGCCCUGGCCAGUCACUAUAUGAUCGACACCGCCAAGUACUCGGAUUGCGAUGUCUUCACUCCGUGACGGCGCGCAGACUCAGCCCUGAAGCCCCAGGGACGGCGAAAGCCAGAGCCGCCACGCUAAGCGCGCCCCACGGAACACGCAGCCCUGCACCCUAGCCUGAGUCGGUCGAAGAGGUCCCUGGCCAAUUCAGCUCCCGCAGCUGGGUAGCGCCCGCCCGGGUGCCUCCCGCUGGCUCGCCACGCUGUCACCGCACUGAGUCCUCUUGGUUUUCCACAUGCGCGCACAGACACGCGUCCUGCCCUUCCCCGGGCAGACCCGCACACCUGCACACAUGUGGUGAUGCAGACCCCUCCAGCAUCCCUGGGGCGCCUCUGGCGGACCAGAGGCGGCCCCGCAGCCGGUUGUCACUCUACGGGGACCCUGCGGGGGGCUCCCAGGCACCCCUUCCCCUGGGAGAUGCGCGCCGCGACGUGGCACUUACAGUUCUCAGGAACUGGAUCUCAUCCUCGCCUUCGCCCGCAUCAGCCAUGGCUCCGCGCUCCUGGCCCGGCCGGCUCCGGAGCCCGGCGGAGCCCCACGACCGCGGCCACUUAUGCUGCUGCUGCUACUGCUGAAGCUGCUGCUGCGGCUUCUCUGGACGCUCUAGUCACUGCUAACCAGGAUGUUCUAGGGGCUCCAACGGCUGCUACUCGGGUCGCUGCCCCUGCGGCGGCCACAGCCAGGAGCCCGAGGCACCCGGGGGGCCGCGCUGCUGGUGCCGAGAGCCCAGCGGUCGGUCCCCCUGCAGCGCGGCGGAGGCGGGCACGCGGGGGCGGCCGAGGCGCGGGGCCUCCCUGCGCCGCACGGUGCGGGAGGAGGGCAGCCCGGCGUGAGGACGCAGGGAGGAGGCCCCACUGCCCGGCGCGCUCGGCCCCGGCUCCCGCCAGCGAGUGCCCGGAGCCCGCGGAGCCGGGCUAGUGCAGCGGCGGGGGCGGGCUGGGGGCGGGCGGGGAGGAGCUGCCAGCCCCGGCUGCUGCAGGUAAUCCGCAGCCCGCUCCUCCGGCCGCCAGCGCCGGGGCACAGUGCCGCUUACUGGCUGCUUGGGGAAUCAACUGGCGCGUGCCAGAGCGCUCAGCCAUCCCCUGCACCUGUGCCCUUCCUGACCUCAAGUCCAAGGAGCUCAGCUUCCCGCUGAGCCCUGCUACAGUACUUGCCACCCAUUUCUAAGGCCUUUUGGAUUGCACGGGGAACUCUCCUUCUCCCCCGGUGCACAGAAUGGGGAGCCUCUACGUGUGAUCGAUAUUUACACUUCGACUCCCUCCAUACGAGAUAGAGGUGGUUUUCUUAGUUAUUGAGUCAGCAUGCACCAGACUCAUCACAGAUUAAGUUCUCACCACAAGGGGCCUGGUGUGGAUGGUCGAGGAGUUUUAACAAAUUAUUCAGCAACAGGGGUGAGAGAGAAGGCUGAAGAAGAGCACUCACUGAUCUUGUAGAGGAUGCGCCUCGGUUCCUAGCACCCACGCGAGACAGCUCACAACCACCUGUCACUCUGGUUCCAGGAGACCCAGUGCCCUCUGGCCUCCAUGGGCACCUGAAGGUACUUCGUGCACAUACAUUUAUUAGGCACAUAUGCAUAGAUAAAAUAAGUAUAUAUUAAAAAGUACUCAACGACAGCACAACAAUCCCAGCAUUCAACGACAAAGUAGGCAUCUUGCCAUGCAUUGUGAUACAAGACACACAAAUUCAUAAUGCACCUGCGCAAGAAAUUACAAUAAAGUAUGGUGUGCUAAGGACCAGUCCGAUCACUGAAUGCGCUAAACUCACACCGUGGUAUCCGCGAUCUGCCGUGAGAGAGCAAAGUUAAACAUUCCUCCACAAAUGCCGGAUCCAAAUCUCACAAUGCUCCAUGUAAUCAUAAGCCAUCAAAUCUCCAUUUUAAAAACAGCUGCUGUAAGCCAGCUAGCCGGCUCAGCUGGUGAAGGCACUUGCCACCAAUCCUGACUAGAUGAGUUCAAUUCCAGGGACCCACAUGGUGGGAAGAAAGAACUCCAAGUUCUCCUCAGCCUCCACACACAGCCGUCAUACACAUAAAUAAAUAAAUGUUUUUAAAAGUAGUAUGUAACUAUGACUAAGAAAUAAAAUGUCGGAAGCAACUGGGACAAGAAAUCCAACACAUGUUUUCUCAGUUCUAAGUGUUUUCAUUUAUAUCACUGAAAAAAAAUUAUAGAGAAAGCAACGUUCCCACAUGCCCAACCUACUCAUAGUCAGGAGUUAUACAAUAAAUAAUUUUGCGUUAACUUAUCUCUGCUACACAUGUUACAGCAUCUGGUACAUCAUUAAAACUGCCCAGAAAUUUUCAGGUGGGUUACAUUUUGUUUCCACCUUUCCUAUUUUCGUCCUUACAAAGUUAAAGUUUUUGUCUAUUUCC
rnacentral:lncRNA from 1 species